rnacentral:rRNA from 1 species
AGCUAUUUAAACGGCCGCGGUAUACUAACCGUGCAAAGGUAGCGUAAUCACUUGUCCUUUAAAUAGGGACUAGUAUGAAUGGCAACAUGAGGGUGUAACUGUUUCAUGUGACCAAUCAUUGAACCUGAUCUUCCAGUACAAAAGCUGGAAUAUAUACAUAAGACGAGAAGACCCUGCGGAGCUUUAAACCCCUUCACACCGACCAAUCAUAACACCCACGGACACACCAAUACAGCGAGUGAGAAGCGUUUUAAGUUGGGGCGACUGCGGAGUAAAAAAUACCCCCCGCGAUAAUAAACCUGCCAUAGG